UUCUCUUGUGGGCCUUUAGUGCCAUAAAUUUCCCUCAACAUACUGCUUUAAAUGUGUCCCAGAGAUUCUGGUAUGUUGUGCUGAGGACAAAUCUUAAAUGGAGUUUUUGAGCAAGGAGAGGGAAUAGGAGCUUGCUCCAUCCACUCCACUCGUCAUCUUGAUAUUGCAGUACCUCCAGGAACGGUGCAUUCCCC